rnacentral:tRNA from 1 species
GCCGGAGUGGUGGAACUGGUAGACACGCCAUCUUGAGGGGGUGGUGGGUGUAUUCCCGUAGGGGUUCGAGUCCCCUCUUCGGCACCA